rnacentral:rRNA from 1 species
GAUGAACGCUGGCGGCGUGCCUAAUACAUGCAAGUCGAGCGAAUGGAUUAAGAGCUUGCUCUUAUGAAGUUAGCGGCGGACGGGUGAGUAACACGUGGGUAACCUGCCCAUAAGACUGGGAUAACUCCGGGAAACCGGGGCUAAUACCGGAUAACAUUUUGAGCCGCAUGGUUCGAAAUUGAAAGGCGGCUUCGGCUGUCACUUAUGGAUGGACCCGCGUCGCAUUAGCUAGUUGGUGAGGUAACGGCUCACCAAGGCAACGAUGCGUAGCCGACCUGAGAGGGUGAUCGGCCACACUGGGACUGAGACACGGCCCAGACUCCUACGGGAGGCAGCAGUAGGGAAUCUUCCGCAAUGGACGAAGGUCUGACGGAGCAACGCCGCGUGAGUGAUGAAGGCUUUCGGGUCGUAAAACUCUGUUGUUAGGGAAGAACAAGUGCUAGUUGAAUAAGCUGACACCUUGACGGUACCUAACCAGAAAGCCACGGCUAACUACGUGCCAGCAGCCGCGGUAA